rnacentral:rRNA from 1 species
UACGAAGGGGGCUAGCGUUGCUCGGAAUCACUGGGCGUAAAGGGUGCGUAGGCGGGUCUUUAAGUCAGGGGUGAAAUCCUGGAGCUCAACUCCAGAACUGCCUUUGAUACUGAAGAUCUUGAGUUCGGGAGAGGUGAGUGGAACUGCGAGUGUAGAGGUGAAAUUCGUAGAUAUUCGCAAGAACACCAGUGGCGAAGGCGGCUCACUGGCCCGGUAUGACGCUGAGGCGAGACGGA